ensembl:snoRNA SNORD22 Small nucleolar RNA SNORD22
UACCGAUGAGGAAAGCAAUCACAUGUCUUAACCCCAGACCUGGCCCCAGAGCCAGCAAUGGUGAACCCACUGGGGCUGGCUGGGGGAGAGGAGGAUGCUUUGUUCCAGAAGGAACAGUCUGAGGUAC